rnacentral:lncRNA from 1 species
CAUUGCACAGGUUCGCACUUAAGUAUCUCUGGUGAGAUGCCCCACGGACAGCUUUACGCAGCACACUAGGAGGUGGGCUUCUUGAAGAUCCAUUACCAUGGCUUACUCGCAGAGUCCUUUCAGCUGAAUUCCAGGAUCUGAGAACACUCCUGUUUGCAGGCAAUGUUCUCCCCGGAAGGGCCAUAAGAGGAAUGGGCAGAACAUCCUGUUUGCAAGCCAGCUCAGCCGCAACUCAGCUCCAUGAAAUGUCCUGUAUGCAAGCACAUUCAUGUUCUUAGGCCAGAUCUCCUUCAAUGUUAUAUGUCUAUUAUAUCAAAAUUUUAAAUAAACGAAUCCAAGUGUAUACUUUAAAUAUGUGCUGUGUUCUAUAUCAAU